ACUCCUACGGGAGGCAGCAGUGGGGAAUUUUGGGCAAUGGGCGCAAGCCUGACCCAGCAACGCCGCGUGCAGGAUGAAGGCCCUCGGGUCGUAAACUGCUGUCAGGAGGGAAGAAUGGCACCAGAAAGAAACGUCUGGUGUUUGACGGAACCUCCAGAGGAAGCGCCGGCUAACUCCGUGCCAGCAGCCGCGGUAAU
rnacentral:rRNA from 1 species